rnacentral:lncRNA from 1 species
GUUACAUUAAAAUGCUCAAUUAACUCCCUCCUCCUCCCCCCCAUUAGAAGAGUCAUCACAUGAAUAUAUAUAUAUAUAUAUAUAUAUACAUAUAUAUAUAUAUAUAUAUAUAUACACACAACUAUGUCUUACUUGUUUCUAUUUUUCAGUUCUUUCCCUGGAGGUGGACAUACACAAGUCAUCCUUCAAACAAUAUUUCCAUUGCUGUUUACAAUGUUCUCUUGGUUCUGCUCGUUUCACUCUUCAUAUUUCAGGUUGCAGGUGCAUCCAGAUGUGCAUCUGAGCCAUGAGCUGUGCCCAGAACUGAACCAGAUUUCUUUUUCUGAAUAUAUCUCUACUCAGAUGAGGAUCAAUGGAGAAAAGAACACAGAAGGAAUGAUUCUGAACCCAAGGCAUGGAACUGGUAGCUAUUCCCUGUAUUUUAUAAUAGGAAAAAGGACUGAACUUGGGAAUUUGCUGACAUAGAGAACUCCCAGGUGAAGAAAUUUCCUCCACUAAUACAGGUCAAUAUAGAGUUGCCUGGUGGGUACUAGAAAAAGUUAAGUGACUUCCACAAGGUUUCUUGGACAGCAUGUGCCAAAGGUGGAACUUAAACCCAGAAAUUUCUAGCUUGGAGGUCAACUCUAUCCAUUAUACACUGGCUUUUGCACCAGCAACACAUUUUGGCAACACUGUUGAUUAUUUUGGAAGAUGGAAACUAACCUGUAUGUGGAGAAUAAAGGAGUGUUCAUGGAGAGCUACUUGGAAGUU